CAGCCGCCGCGGUAAUACGUAGGUGGCGAGCGUUGUCCGGAAUUAUUGGGCGUAAAGGGCUCGCAGGCGGUUUCUUAAGUCUGAUGUGAAAGCCCCCGGCUCAACCGGGGAGGGUAAUUGGAAACUGGGAAACUUGAGUGCAGAAGAGGAGAGUGGAAUUCCACGUGUAGCGGUGAAAUGCGUAGAGAUGUGGAGGAACACCAGUGGCGAAGGCGACUCUCUGGUCUGUAACUGACGCUGAGGAGCGAAAGCGUGGGGAGCGAACAGGAUUAGAUACCCCAGUAGUCCCUGUCUCUUAUAC
rnacentral:rRNA from 1 species